CUUGUAUGUAAUUCUGCUUUUCUUUUUUCCUAUAGAUUUCUUAGUAAUCUGUACAGUUCUCUGCGCUGGACUCUCACUUUUCAGAAUGAUGAAAGCAUGUUGCACAGGAGUCACAGAUACUGCUGCUGAGUUGGGGAUCACUGAAGCACAACGAGCUUCACACUGAGAUCAAACCUUGUGGAUCAACAGCACAGGAUCAAGAUGUUAUCACCUUGGGAUACCAGAAUUCAGGGAGGUCUGGUCACUGACUUUAAGUGACUAGGAUGGUAAGAAAAGGGCACUUCUUACCAUUAUAGCAAUGCUAUUUGACUGCCUCUGUUACCUUUUCUGAUUGCUGUCAGGGAUUACAGACUGCCAGUACUACAUUCCUGUUUCCCUUCCUGUCACUGAUGCAAGAUUUUGGGCCGCUGCCUAGAAGAGAUCUCUAUAACAGAGGUCCCUUCUGUCCUUUUUUCCCCUGACAGAAUGAAUAUUCUCUAGUUCCAUAAACGGCUGUUUUCAAAGGAGAAUGAGGAGUCCUUUCAUAACCUUGAACUGAGGCAUCUUCAUCUUGGGGAAAGAGUUUCCUCUAAACCCUUCAUUUUUGAAUAAUUUGCAGUAGAAAUUGAUGCCACACUUCUCCCUUUAGGACAGAAAGGGCAGAAGUGAGCUCCCUUCCUUAUUUGAUAGUUUCCUUAUCCUCACUGAGGGUUUCUGUUCCUCCACAGAAGGGACACAGUGCUCAGUAGUGAGGAGUAAAC
rnacentral:lncRNA from 1 species